rnacentral:rRNA from 1 species
UACGAACUGUGCAAACGUUAUUCGGAAUCACUGGGCUUACAGGGUGCGUAGGCGGCUUGUUAAGUCGGGUGUGAAAGCCCCCGGCUCAACCGGGGAAUGGCGCCCUAAACUGGCGAGCUGGAGUGAGAUAGGGGUGUGCGGAACUUCCGGUGGAGCGGUGAAAUGUGUUGAUAUCGGAAGGAACGCCGGUGGCGAAAGCGGCACACUGGAUCUCAACUGACGCUGAGGCACGAAAGCCAGGGGAGCGAACGGG